rnacentral:rRNA from 1 species
GGCCAGACUCCUACGGGAGGCAGCAGUGGGGAAUAUUGCACAAUGGGGGAAACCCUGAUGCAGCGACGCCGCGUGAGUGAAGAAGUAUUUCGGUAUGUAAAGCUCUAUCAGCAGGGAAGAAGUUGACGGUACCUGAGUAAGAAGCCCCGGCUAACUACGUGCCAGCAGCCGCGGUAAUACGUAGGGGGCAAGCGUUAUCCGGAUUUACUGGGUGUAAAGGGAGCGUAGACGGCAGUGCAAGUCUGAAGUGAAAGCCCCGGGCUUAACCCGGGAACUGCUUUGGAAACUGUACGGCUGGAGUGCUGGAGAGGUAAGCGGAAUUCCUAGUGUAGCGGUGAAAUGCGUAGAUAUUAGGAGGAACACCAGUGGCGAAGGCGGCUUACUGGACAGUAACUGACGUUGAGGCUCGAAAGCGUGGGGAGCAAACAGGAUUAGAUACCCUAGUA